rnacentral:lncRNA from 1 species
CAUUUCUUAAUAUAGUGGAGUUUGAUUUGUAAUCAUAAAAUUUGGUUAUUUUUUCAAAAGCUUCUAUGUAAUCCUUGGGAUAUUUAAUUCUAUCGGUCAGGUUGAUAGAACUUAAGGAUUUUGGUAUUUCUGGUAAGGUUUGGGUAAUAGUGUUUAUAACUGGUGUGGAGGCUAAUCGGGAUACAAAAGUUUGAGGNNNN